UUUCCUACGGGAGGCAGCAGUAGGGAAUAUUGCUCAAUGGGCGAAAGCCUGAAGCAGCAACGCCGCGUGCAUGAUGAAGGUCUUCGGAUCGUAAAGUGCUUUUCUGGGAGAUGAGAAAGGACAGUAUCCCAGGAAUAAGUCUCGGCUAACUACGUGCCAGCAGCCGCGGUAAAACGUAGGAGGCAAGCGUUAUCCGGAUUCACUGGGCGUAAAGCGCGUGCAGGUGGCGCGGUAAGUUGGAUGUGAAAUCUCCCGGCUCAACUGGGAGAGGUCAUUCAAUACUACCGUGCUUGAGAGCAGAAGAGGAAGAUGGAAUUCCCGGUGUAGUGGUGAAAUGCGUAGAUAUCGGGAGGAACACCAGUGGCGAAGGCGAUCUUCUGGUCUGUUUCUGACACUCAGACGCGACAGCUAGGGUAGUAAACGGGAUUAGAGACCCCGGUAAUCCUAGCCGUAAACGAUGUGAACUUGGCGUUGGUGGGUUAAACUCCAUCAGUGCCGCAGCAAACGCGAUAAGUUCACCGCCUGGGGACUACGGCCGCAAGGUUAAAACUCAAAGGAAUUGACGGGGGCCCGCACAAGCAGCGGAGCGUGUGGUUUAAUUCGAUGCUACACGAGAACCUUACCCAGGCUUGACAUACAGGUGGUAGGGAUCCGAAAGGUGAC
rnacentral:rRNA from 1 species